CCUCCUUUUCUCAUAACCAGCGGGUGAAAGGGUAGCUUGUGAUUUGAUGCUGAUGACUGUUGAGCCUUUUUCACGUGUCAGCAUUUAUUUCUUGGAAAAGUGUCUUGUUAGUACUACUACACACAGUUGCAGCAAUCACUUAGUGCAGCAGCCACUAGCACCCACUUAGUGCUUAUGUGCUUUUGGGACUUCCCAUAGCACAAGAGUCAGCCUGUUUGGAGGCACUGUCUGUGGUGAGUGGUAUCCAGAAACACUGACUCAGUGAAGUCAUGGAACAAUAACAAAGGUUAACUGUCCAAAGGAAACACAGCAAAUGAAAACAUUUCUGAAAUGCCUAUUGCUCACGCUUGAUUUCUGGAGGGGGAAGAAGAAAAGUAAAUUGCUCAUGCAGAACAGAGACUCUCCUUUCAUUUUCUUGUUCUCUCCUAAGCAGUGCACAUAGACUGCCCGGCUGUGAGGCUUAACAGAUGUGGCAGAACUGAAGCAUGGAAAGUCUGUCCACGGGAGAAAUGUAUCAGCUAUCUUGAGACGUGAGAUGCCAACAGCUAUGAACCUCACUCCUCAUCUGAUACCUGCCAUGGGAAAAGCAUGUGAAAGCAGACUCAAGUUUUUAAGGCUCACUACAAAGCCCAUUUACAGCAAAGGAGACUUUACAUCAAGCAUAACACAGGUCAGGCUGGAUUUUCAGUUAAAGGAUUGUGUAUGGAAGUGUGAGAUGUUGAUCUUGUCAAUAAAGUCUCACAGCCUCUGUGUGCAGCAGAGCAUGACUUUGGAUAUCAUCAGCAGAGAAUGUGUGCUUCUCCCAGGAGGUGGUUUGCUUUCCAGCCAUGAAAAUGCAGUGUUGGUAGUAGAAAAUGGAAACUGUGAAAAAUUACCAAGAAUGCAGAUCUAGUAGAUAUUUGCCUGGCAUCCCAUGGGCCUGCAGAGAAGUACAACAUAGGGGAAGAAGUCUUCCAGGAAUGCAUGAGGAGCAUGCUGUUCUUCAUCAAGCUCAACCUGAACACGUACUUCUGUAUUUAUUCUCUUCGCUCUCCUCCUGACACCUGAAUGACUGGAUCCUGGCAGCACAUAUUUUUAGCGGUUUAUCCAUUAUUUUUUUUUAAUGUAGAAAACAGUGUACAAGGAUUUAUACGAAGGCCUUGAGAUGACUCAACUAUUGGCUUGCAUCUCCGCAGCAGAAGGCUGUGGUUUCCAUUUCUACCUCAUGUACUAGGCACAUACCCAACGCUUGGCACUGUAUUUCAGUGACAGGGGGUGUUGCAUCGUGGGAGAUGUCAUCCCAAAGAUGACAUGAUGAACUCAUCUCUAUUGUUUCUCCAUCUGGAAAUGAAAACUCCAAGGAAUACUUCAAAAAGAGCAGGAGUUUACUUUAGGGCCCCACCGAUCGUUCCUACAAUUGUUCCCAUGACAUUGUGUGUGUGAGACGUUGUUUAGUACAUGACAACUAUGUUUCUGCCUGAAGAGUUUUUGCAGCAUCACUGCCUACACCAUUUCCAUCAGCGUACUGCAUCUGUUGUGCCACUUGUAAAACACUGAGAUUGCUAUUUACCGAGCAGGAUUUUUUCUUCUGUGCUAGU